UGGGGAAUAUUGGACAAUGGGCGAAAGCCUGAUCCAGCCAUGCCGCGUGUGUGAAGAAGGUCUUCGGAUUGUAAAGCACUUUAAGUUGGGAGGAAGGGCAGUAAGCUAAUACCUUGCUGUUUUGACGUUACCGACAGAAUAAGCACCGGCUAACUCUGUGCCAGCAGCCGCGGUAAUACAGAGGGUGCAAGCGUUAAUCGGAAUUACUGGGCGUAAAGCGCGCGUAGGUGGUUUGUUAAGUUGGAUGUGAAAGCCCCGGGCUCAACCUGGGAACUGCAUCCAAAACUGGCAAGCUAGAGUACGGUAGAGGGUGGUGGAAUUUCCUGUGUAGCGGUGAAAUGCGUAGAUAUAGGAAGGAACACCAGUGGCGAAGGCGACCACCUGGACUGAUACUGACACUGAGGUGCGAAAGCGUGGGGAGCAAACAGGAUUAGAUACCCCCGUAGUCCCUGAGCGGGCUGGCAAG
rnacentral:rRNA from 1 species